UGGGUCGCCAUCUUGGUUCCUUGGAUGAAAUACUGUAGUCGAUCGUCCACAGGUUAAUUUGAAGACACUGACCUGGAGUUACUUGCUGACUUCGGUUCUUUGCAGGAAUGGGAUCCGCUCUCUGGGCCUCACGACCGGCUGCUUUUUGAUAUGCCAAGGACGCAGCCUGGAAGACUAGUGUGUCUUCAGGGUCCCGGAUUUUCGUGGCUCUGGAGGUGGCUGGAUUCGAGUUUGUGCUGCUUCAGAAAACUGGUGUGUCAUGGGAGUACACGGAAGAUCGAAAGCAGCAAGCUGACUGCUGGCUGUGUGCCUAGAGACCCGAGAUCUUUGAGCACAGAGCUCGGAAAAAGUGACGCAACAGACUUUUAACACCAUAAAUGGAAAUCAAUUAAAAAAACUUGGAAAAGAAAAGAAAAGAAAAACCCAGUCUCCAUAAAAGAGGGUACUACCUAGCAGAGCAGUCAUUAUAGGAACGAUCAUUGGCAAAGUGGUCUGAGUCAGACUGGUAAGGCUUUCGCUCAACAGGGCUUCAGCGAGAACAGGUGGA